rnacentral:snoRNA from 1 species
GAGCUGUGAUGAAAUUGGCUUAAACAAAGGUUGGGUCCUUUGCACUCAUCUGAUAUUCAGCUGAUAUCGCCGCACCUGAGCUC